rnacentral:rRNA from 1 species
CCUACGGGAGGCAGCAGUGGGGAAUAUUGCACAAUGGGGGAAACCCUGAUGCAGCGACGCCGCGUGAGCGAUGAAGUAUUUCGGUAUGUAAAGCUUUAUCAGUAGGGAAAAAAAUGAUGGUACGUGACGAAGAAGCCCCGGCUAACUACGUGCCAGCAGCCGUGGGUAUAAGGAGGGAGCAAGUGGUAUCCGGAUUUACUGGGCGUAAAGGGAGUGUAGAGGGGGGUGCUAGGCAGGUGUGAAAGCUCGGGGGUCAACCCCGGGACUGCAUUUUGUACUGUGCUGCUCGAGUGUCGAAGAGGUAGGCGGAAUACGUAAUGUAGCGGUGAAAUGCGUAGAUAUUAGGUAGAACACCGAUAGCGAAGGCAGCCUGCUAGACGAUGACUGACGUUGAGGCUCGAGAGCGUGGGGAGCGAACAGGAUUAGAUACCCGGGUAGUC